rnacentral:rRNA from 1 species
AGAGUUUGAUCCUGGCUCAGAAGGAACGCUGGCAGCGUGCAUAACACAUGCAAGUCGAACGAUGAAGCAUUCUUCGGAAUGUGGAAGAGUGGCGAACGGGUGAGGAACACGUAAGAAUCUGCCCCUCGGUCGGGGACAACUUUUGGAAACGAAAGCUAAUACCCGAUACGCUGUGGAGUGAAAGAAUUUCGCCGAGGGAUGAUCUUGCGUCUGAUUAGCUAGUUGGUGCGGUAAUGGCGCACCAAGGCGACGAUCAGUAGCUGGUCUGAGAGGAUGGACAGCCACAUUGGGACUGAGACACGGCCCAGACUCCUACGGGAGGCAGCAGUGGGGAAUAUUGGACAAUGGAGGCAACUCUGAUCCAGCAAUGCCGCGUGUGUGAUGAAGGCCUUAGGGUUGUAAAGCACUUUCAACGGUGAAGAUGAUGACGGUAGCCGUAGAAGAAGCCCCGGCUAACUUCGUGCCAGCAGCCGCGGUAAUACGAAGGGGGCGAGCGUUAUUCGGAAUUAUUGGGCGUAAAGGGCUCGCAGGCUGCUUGAACAGUUAGACGUGAAAUCCCCGGGCUCAACCUGGGAACUGCGUUUAAUACUAGCAAGCUAGAGUAAUAGAGAGGAAAGUGGAAUUCCCAGUGUAGAGGUGAAAUUCGUAGAUAUUGGGAGGAACACCAGUGGCGAAAGCGGCUUUCUGGCUAUUUACUGACGCUGAGGAGCGAAAGCGUGGGGAGCAAACAGGAUUAGAUACCCUGGUAGUCCACGCCGUAAACGAUGUCUACUAGCCGUUGGGAGACUUGAUCUCUUAGUGGCGCAGUUAACGCGAUAAGUAGACCGCCUGGGGAGUACGGCCGCAAGGUUAAAACUCAAAUGAAUUGACGGGGGCCCGCACAAGCGGUGGAGCAUGUGGUUUAAUUCGACGCAACGCGCAGAACCUUACCAACCCUUGACAUACUUGUCGCGGAUUCCAGAGAUGGAUUCCUUCAGUUCGGCUGGACAAUGUACAGGUGCUGCAUGGCUGUCGUCAGCUCGUGUCGUGAGAUGUUCGGUUAAGUCCGGCAACGAGCGCAACCCACGUCCUUAGUUACCAGCAUUUAGUUGGGUACCCUAAGGAGACUGCCGGUGAUAAGCCGGAGGAAGGUGUGGACGACGUCAAGUCAUCAUGGCCCUUACGGGUUGGGCUACACACGUGCUACAAUGGCAUCUACAGUGAGUUAAUCUCCAAAAGAUGUCUCAGUUCGGAUUGGGGUCUGCAACUCGACCCCAUGAAGUUGGAAUCGCUAGUAAUCGCGGAACAGCAUGCCGCGGUGAAUACGUUCCCGGGCCUUGUACACACCGCCCGUCACACCAUGGGAAUUGGGUCUACCCGAAGGUGGUGCGCCAACUAUUUAUAGGGGCAGCCAACCACGGUAGGUUCAGUGACUGGGGUGAAGUCGUAACAAGGUAGCCGUAGGGGAACCUGCGGCUG